AUCUAAGCCCGAACUUAACACGGUGAAGCUGCGAAUGGCUCAUUAGGCCACCAAUGAUUUCUUAGAUCGUACAUUUCUACUUGGUUAACUGUGGCAAUUCUAGAGCUAAUACAUGCAAAAAAGCUUGGACCCUUUCUGGAACAAGCGCGUUUAUUAGAUCAAAACCAAUCGGUUCGCAAGGACCGCCUUAUUGGUGACUCUGAAUAACUGAGUAAAUCGCACGGCCUCGAGCUGAAAUAAGAUUCCAGAAAUUUAAAAUAAAAUAAAG
rnacentral:ncRNA from 1 species